AGCUGGGAUUUCGGUGGCCAAGAAGGACACUAAACUUCACUUCCCAUAAUUCCCUCAGGGCGAAGGCAGCUGGCUGUCGCGUGCGCUGAUGUUGCUUUCCAGUUUAGCAGAAGAAACUAAAAUAGGCCCCAAAACCUGAACGUCUCCAAACAACUCGGCUAGUUUAAACUGGUUCGGCACAGAACAGGUUUCACAUUUGUGUUGCAGUUCAAAUGCAGAAGGUUGAGAAAAAAAAAAAGCUUAAAUCCACCUGCGCUUACUUUGCUCAGUUUACGUCUUUUCUAGUGAACUGAAAAGUAAUUCCCUGCUGACUGGAAACAGUUCGCUGAACGGCAUGGGACCGCGGUCCGAGCGGUGACACGGCAAAGCUGAGGACGGCUUGUUUCACUUCAUAACAACAUCAACGGUACUGUCACCCCUCAACCCCGCCAUCAUCCCCCCUGCUGUGUGGCGGUGAGGGGCAACGCUGGGCUGACUCCGGAUCAGCCCGUGCUGGAGGAUGGAGAUAGAGAAGAGGACGAAUGGGUUCGACUACCCGGAGAGAAACAACGCCAAGUCGGUGAACGGUUUUUAUGGUGAUCAUCCCCUGGAGACAGAACCCAGCGACAGCAUGGAUGCAAUUAAUGAAAGUAACCUGGGUGAGUAAAAAUUCUUUUGUGUUUUUCUGAAGAGCUGCAAGAUG